rnacentral:tRNA from 1 species
GCGGAUAUAGCUCAGAGGUAGAGUACUUGCCUAGCAAGCUUGAGGCCCUGGGCUCCAUCCCCAGUACCACCA